rnacentral:rRNA from 1 species
AGAAUCAACGCUGGCGGCGUGCCUCAGACAUGCAAGUCGAACGCGAAAGUCCCCUUCGGGGGACAAGUAGAGUGGCGCACGGGUGAGUAACACGUAGGUAAUCUACCUUCGGAUGGGGAAUAACAACCGGAAACGGUUGCUAAUACCGCAUAAUGCAGCGGCACCUAAUGGUGACAGUUGUUAAAGCGGGGGAUCGAAAGACCUCGCGUCUGAAGAGGAGCCUGCGGCGGAUUAGCUAGUUGGUAGGUAACGGCCUACCAAGGCGACGAUCCGUA